rnacentral:rRNA from 1 species
GAAGGGGGCUAGCGUUGCUCGGAAUUACUGGGGCGUAAAGGGGCGCGUAGGCGGACAUUUAAGUCAGGGUGAAAUCCCAGAGCUCAACUCUGGGAACUGCCUUUGAUACUGGGUGUCUUGAGUGUGAGAGAGGUAUGUGGAACUCCGAGUGUAGAGGUGAAAUUCGUAGAUAUUCGGAAGAACACCAGUGGCGAAGGCGACAUACUGGCUCAUUACUGACGCUGAGGCGCGAAAGCGUGGGGAGCAAACAGGAUUAGAUACCCUGGUAGUCCACGCCGUAAACGAUGAUUGCUAGUUGUCGGGCUGCAUGCAGUUCGGUGACGCAGCUAACGCAUUAAGCAAUCCGCCUGGGGAGUACGGUCGCAAAGAUUA